rnacentral:rRNA from 1 species
UACGUAGGGUGCAAGCGUUGUCCGGAAUUAUUGGGCGUAAAGAGCUCGUAGGCGGUCUGUCGCGUCGGCUGUGAAAUCCCGAGGCUCAACCUCGGGUCUGCAGUCGAUACGGGCAAACUGGAGUGUUGCAGGGGAGACUGGAAUUCCUGGUGUAGCGGUGGAAUGCGCAGAUAUCAGGAGGAACACCGGUGGCGAAGGCGGGUCUCUGGGCAGUAACUGACGCUGAGGAGCGAAAGUGUGGGGAGCGAACAGG